AUUGAACGCUGGCGGCAUGCUCUACACAUGCAAGUCGAACGGUAACAGGCCGCAAGGUGCUGACGAGUGGCGAACGGGUGAGUAAUGCAUCGGAACGUGCCCAGUCGUGGGGGAUAACUACUCGAAAGAGUAGCUAAUACCGCAUACGAUCUAUGGAUGAAAGCGGGGGACCGUAAGGCCUCGCGCGAUUGGAGCGGGCGAUGUCAGAUUAGGUAGUUGGUGGGGUAAAGGCUCACCAAGCCAACGAGCUGUAGCUGGUCUGAGAGGACGACUCGCCAGACUGGGACUGAGACACGGCCCAGACUCCUACGGGAGGCAGCAGUGGGGAAUUUUGGACAAUGGGCGCAAGCCUGAUCCAGCAAUGCCGCGUGCAGGAAGAAGGCCUUCGGGUUGUAAACUGCUUUUGUACGGAACGAAACGGCUCUGGUUAAUACCCGGGGCUAAUGACGGUACCGUAAGAAUAAGCACCGGCUAACUACGUG
rnacentral:rRNA from 1 species